GUAAAGUCCAGUUCUUUUGUAUAUGUCCAAAAUGUAAGUGUGUGAGUGACGUGUGUGUGUGGGGGGAAUGCUAUGUGGGUGUAUGUGAAAAAAAAGAGUCCAGUUCAAGUUUGUUGGUAUGUGGUGUGGAGUGUUGUAGGUGUAUGGGGGGAGGGAGGUGGAAGGGAACAGGGAGUCCAGACAGGGACCAAGAGGACGGGGAAAGCCGGGAAACAAUUAACGUCAACUUAUCUGAGCUGGUUUAACAGUCAAGGUUUUACUCCAGAAUGAGGAGGCUCCGAGUGCCUGACCAUUGACCCUUGAGACGGUCGGUUCCACACACUCCGGGGGGGUUUCUCCGUUGCUGGUGUCCUUUCAGUUUUAUUUCUCCAGUCAGCUCACAAACUUUUCUUUGUCUCACUUUCCUGUCACCUCUCUCCUGGCCCUGCACUGUCUGUCUGCCCUCUCCUUCUCUCAGCACUCAGGUGCAUUCACUUACUCUGAUGAGUGGCAAGCCCCUCCCCUUACCUCUGAGGAGGGAGGGCCUGCCUCACUCUCCUUCUUGCCACACUCUCCCCCCUUGAUGAGACCGUGUAUACUGGAAACUCAGUCUUCAAACUAAAACCCUAAAAAUCUUCUUCUCCUGAGCUUUCCUGUAGCAGGUCCAUUAUUCUUUUCCUUUCCAUGACCUCCAAGUCCUCCGCACUGGGGUAGAAAGGUUUCAGGUUGCAGACAUGCACAGUCCUUGCAUCCAAACCUGUGUCCUCCAGAACAACUUGGUAAUUCAGAGGGCCCAGCUGUUGAACUACACGGUAGGGACCUCUCCACUUUUUGGCUAAUUUAGCUGUGAAUUUGUCCUUAGCCUUAGACAGAGGGAAAUUCCUAACCCACACUCUCUGUUUGGGUUUGAAAUCAACGUGGCGGCGAUUUUUAUUGUAGUUCCUCAGUUGCCUCUUCUUUGCUUUUUUUAUGUUUUCCUCCACGUCUGUUUUCAGUUGUGUGAGAUGAUGCACAACGUCAUAUGCAGGCUCAUCAGGGGAUAAAAUCCUGCCUUUCAGAACUUUAUCCAUCGGACUAUUCAGCUUCCUGCCAAUCUGCAGUUCAGCAGGCGUUACACCUGUAGUUUCCUGAACAGCGGAGUUUAUGGCAAAUCUGAAUUCCGGAAGGUAUUGAUCCCAUUUACCAUGAUUGUCAUCCAAGCAAGAGGCUAUCAUACUUUUUAGAGUACGAUUCACUCUUUCCGUCAUAUUGGUCUGUGGAUGAUAUGCUGUGGUGAGCUUGGGAAUCACAGUCCACUGGUUACAGAGUUCACGAAAUAUAGAAGACACAAAUUGAGGUCCUCUGUCAGACAAGAUGUAGUCAGGUAUUCCCCAUCUUGUGAAAAUAUCUUUCCUCAGGUAGCGGGCCAUGGUCGUGGCUGUAGCCGUUCGCAGGGGGGUGAAUUCCACCCAACGAGUGAAAUAAUCCACGAUCACAAGCAAAUAUUCAUUCCUUUCUGAACUUCUAGGUAACGGACCCAUGAGGUCAAUCCCAAGCAUUUCAUUCGGGCCAUUGACAGUGGUUUGUUGCAACUUUCCAGCAGGUUUUUGGUUAUCUGCUUUCAGACUUUGACAAACAACACAUUGCUUGAUAAAGAGUUUCACAUCAGUCCACAUUCCAGGCCAAUGUGCCACUUCAUAUAACCUUUUAUAGGUUUUGAAGAUUCCAGCAUGUCCACUCAAGGGAUUUUCAUGAUAGUUCAGGAGCAUUUGUUGAACCAGACUACGGGGAAUGCAAAGCCGAUAAUGGAACUGGUUUUCAGAUUUUUGUGUUUUAUGAUACAACUUAUCCUCCCGGAUCACAAAAUCCUGCUCCACUUUGAUAUCUCCUUCAGCAAGCUGUUUCAUAACUUGCUCUAAGUUAGUGUCCUUGUGUUGUUCUUCACAAAUGGUUUUAAGGGAUAUCGGAGUAAUCUCAUCACCAUUUGGAGAGUACAGACAAAGACCAACCUUAGAUGGAAUUCUUGAGAGGGCAUCAGGAGCAUCGUUCAACUUUCCUUUUCUGUACUCCACAAUAAAGUCAAAACGUUGCAACCUCAGUGACCAUCUAAUCAAGCGACUUGUGGUUUUUGUUGAUGAAAGGACCCACUUCAAGGCAGAGUGAUCGGUAAUGACAGUGAAUAGCUUCAGUUCAAGAUAAUGCUGCCAUUUUUCCAGAGCCCAGAUGACGGCAAGGCACUCUUUCUCUGUAACUGAGUAAUUCCUUUCCGCUUGAUUCAGGGUUCGACUUGCAUAAGCAAUAACUUCCUCAGUUCCAUCGUCGUUUUUCUGAGUAAGCACAGCUCCAAGACCAAUAUCACUUGCGUCAGUAUAGACUAAGAAUGGAUGGUCUGGAUUAGGAUGACCCAGGACAGGUGGAGAAAUCAAGCUUGACUUGAGUUUGUCAAAGGAAUACUGACAUGCUGAACUCCAGAUGAAAGGUUUUCCUUUCUUCUUUAGGUCAUUCAAAGGCUGAGCAACUUUCGAGAAGUCUGGCACAAAUUUAUGAUACCAGCCUGCCAGCCCCAAGAAUCUCUGGACUUCCUUGAGAUUUGUCGGCACCGGAUAGGACCGAAUUGCCUCGACCUUGUCAGGAUCAGCGCUGACACCUUUACCAGAGACAAUGUGUCCAAGAAAUCUGAUUUCUUUCAGACAGAACCUAGAUUUCUUAAGAUUAACAGUCAGAUUCGCUUUGCAGAGACGAUCGAUUACAGUAUGUAACCGCUCAAGAUGUUGAGUCACAGAUGAUGAGUACACAAUGAUAUCGUCUAGAUAGACUAGACAGAUAUUUCCUCUGAGCCCUUCCAAGACUUUCUCCAUUAGUCUUUGGAAAGUGGCGGGAGCAUUUUUGAGUCCAAAGGGCAUCACAUUGAAGUGAUACAGUCCACGAUGUGUAAUGAAUGCAGUUUUUGCUUCGCUUUCAGGAUCCAUGGGUACUUGCCAGUAUCCACUGUUCAAAUCAAUCGUAGAGAAGAUUGUGGCUCCAGAAAGUGACUCAAGGAUUUCAUUGAUGUUUGGGAGAGGAUAGGCAUCAGUUUCAGUGACAGCAUUGACUUUUCGGAAAUCAACACAGAAUCUAUGACCGCCAUCUUUUUUUGGAGGUAAGACAACAGGAGAUGCCCAUCCUGAGUGAGAGGGUUCAAUGACUCCAGUAGCCAGCAUCUCACCUAAUUGUUCUUCCACGAUAACUUGCUUGACAGGUGAGAGUCUAUAAGGUCUUUGUUUGAUAGGCACACAGGCAGUGGUAUAGAUGGUGUGCUGCAAAACAUCCGUCUUACCAGGCUGGUUAGUACAAACUUGUGGGCUAGACUCAAGGAGAUUUCUUAACAGUUUCUUGUCACUGUCCUCCAAAUGAGCAUCCUUCACAGCAACAUCGAUGUAAUCUUUCACAUCCAUUCGAGCAGGCUCCAGAGAGAGAAUGGGAGGUGGAACAGAACUUAUCAGUGAAAGAUUCAGGGCUGAUCUGUUGGGGGUCAUUUGAGUGACUUUUUUGUCACGGUCUCUUGUCUGUGUGUAGUGGGCACUGCCAGGCUGGAAUGGGUAAGCAACAGAGGGCAUUGACUUAAAGCUAUACUCCUUAUCAGCCACAUUGAUGAUCAUUCCAACACUGGAAAUGAGGUUCAGGCCAAGAACAACACUAUACGCCAGAGCGUUUGGUCCCAAUACCGCUACAGGUAAAGUGGAGGCAUGUCCAUGGAGAGCCAUGGUGAGGUCUCCCGAUCCAAUGGAAGUAGCCGGUUCACCAUUAGCCAGAUACAGUGGACCUUCUGUCCAAGGUCGAAGGAUGUCUCUGGUACCCUUCAGUUCCCGCCAAAGAUACUCAUGAAUGAGAGUGUAACUGGCCCCAGUGUCAACUAUAGCUUUUCCAUGCCAUGAAUUUAUGGAGAGAGGCACAAUAAGUUGUAGGGGACUAGAGGAAGAAUCGGGUGGAGGGCCAGAACUCUCUGAGGUGGAUCCAUUCCUCUGUGGUUGCCGAGUUGGCUGCUUUCCAGAUUUUCUUGAUUUUACAAGGGAGACAGAGCCUUUUCCAGGCAGAGCUUUUGUCUUUGGUGGGCGUGACAAGUGUUUAGGUAUCCUGGGAGAAUGACUGAAAGGUUCUGGUGUGCUGUAAUGUGGACAAGAGCCAGGAAGGUGGUUACCUUUACAUCUCCAGCAUAAGACAGGUGGUUACCUUUACAUCUCCAGCAUAAGACAGGUGGUCUGUUCUUUUCAACAGGUGGACCUGAGUGCAUGGUUUUAGAAAGAGGAUUAAUGUUUUUAGCACACAUUCUUGAAUUGUACUCAAGCUGCUGUUCAUGAUCUUUUUCAAGUUGAUGACCAAGGCGCACCAGAUCUUCCACAGUGUCAACACGACCCCGGAGUUGACUAGCAAGAAAAGGUUUGAUGUUUUUCAGAAUCAUCUUAACAAUAUUAGCUUCUGUGAGAGAGGGUUUCCAUCUUUUACAAAGAGCUCUAUAUGAGAAAGCAAAGUCUCUGAUAGUUUCAUUUUCAUGCUGUUUCUUGGUUCGAACACGCUCUGCUAAUUCAUCCUCAUAAUCUUCUGCAAGGAAAGCUGCAAGGAAAACUGUCUCAAAUUGAUUCCAAGUAACAACCUUAGAUCGGGCAAUUUCCCACCAGUCGCGGGCUGUUCCCCGGAGAACAGUUCUGAAAGUGGCAAGAAUAUCAGCAUCUGACAAAGGAUGAAGAGCAAGAAAGUCAUGACACUUUGACAGAUAACUGAGGGGAUCAGGAUCAUCAUGUAUCCCACCAUAUGUAGGAAAGGUUAACUUAAUGUGAUCACUCUUUGUAACCGCUAAAUUAGGGGCUGCAAGUGAGGUUGGAGUUUUCUCCCCUGAACAAGGACUGGAACAUGGAUAAGCAGAGGUAGAUUUACCUUCUACCAAAAAAGAUUCGAGUCGUCUGUCCAGUAAGAUGAUUUUCUGUUCAAGGUCUUGCAUUUGUUCUUUCCUCUCCGUUUCUUCUUUUCCAAGUUGGAUGGUCAGUUUUGUGAUUGCAGAGCUACUUUCGUUAACUGUGUCCACCAAUUGACAGAUACUUUCCUGAGCAGUAGUGUGAAAGCAUUUCAUUUCCUUCUGAAGUUCCACUUGAAGUUGUUCGACCAUGAAGCGAAUUUCUGAAAGAAGAGAUGUCUCAGAGUUUUUCAGCUCUUCGUCCACAACCAUUUUAAUUCCUUUCACAAGUUUAUCCAUUUCCGUUUCCACACUUUCCUUAUGAGAAAUGAUAUGUGACAGAAGCAGCCGAUGAUUGUCACGGGCUUUAUUCAUUAGAUCUUUAAAGUGUUUAGUAGAAGAUGUUUGAAUUCCUUCAACACACGCUGUCAGGUGUUACAUUGCAACACUUUGUGUUUCCAUUUCUUUAUGGAUCCUAUCCCAACCUUCCUGGGUUUUUUCUGCAAUUUGGUUUAAGUUCCGUGCAGGAGUGGGGAGGGUUUUUGGGAGUUCGCACUGAGACUGAGACAGUGAAUAUGGGGACGAGGCUGAAAACGCGAAAUGGCCUCCUCCUGGGUCAGGCAAAGAAGGUACCGCUUCUGUUUCCCAAGUAAGUGACUGGUUUAGUGACUGGGCAGGUUCAAAGUGGGAGGGAAAUUGGGCAAGGUCAUGAGUUUCAGAUGCCUUUACUGAAGGGGGCAGUGGUGUCUGAAAAUAUGUUUGCAAGUGUGCACUAAAUGCUGUGUCUGUGCCAUAAACACGUACAGGUGUCUGCACAUCAGGAGCUUCUAUAUCAAGGUCACCAAGAGACUUCUGAUUAGACAUUUUGUGUUAAGCAGAGAAUGAAUUACUUUUUCAAGAAAUGACCACAUUCAAGUAUAAUUUGUCACCACAUUCAAAAUCAUGCCACAAAAACAGUUACUCAAUCAAGAUUCAAUAUUCAAAGCGAUCAGGUGUAAUUCAACCCCAAUUAAUGGUAAUAGAAUAAAUGAAAUAAUGAAAUAAUCGCAUGGUUAGAACCGAAACAAUUAACUCAGCACAUUUCGUGGUUUAGGGCCCCACGUUGGGCGCCAUUUCUGUAGCGUAGGGGUUCAAAAAGAGGGCUCAGGUUAGGUUUGGAGUUGGGCGCCAGACAGGGGAACUAAUCAUCCUAUCAUGAAUUUAUAAAAAAUCAAAAUACCCUGAGACUUAAUCUACAGAAAUAUUCUAAAGAAAAUACGACUAGCUCGAUCGAUACCCCUGCUACAAAAUUUCAACAAAAGAUUCGGGAGUAAAGAAAAAAUACUUUUUAUCAAAGUUAAAUGUUCAAUAAAGCAAAACAGGGACAAACUAAUCAAAAUAGCACAAAACCGCAUUCAACAAAAACCAAAUACAACUUUAAAUAAUAGUCCCAAGAUCCUUAAAAAAUAGCAAAAAUGAGAAAAUAAAUGAGUGUGUGUGUGUGAAGUCCAGUUCUUUUGUAUAUGUCCAAAAUGUAAGUGUGUGAGUGACGUGUGUGUGUGGGGGGAAUGCUAUGUGGGUGUAUGUGGAAAAAAAAGAGUCCAGUUCAAGUUUGUUGGUAUGUGGUGUGGAGUGUUGUAGGUGUAUGGGGGGAGGGAGGUGGAAGGGAACAGGGAAUCCAGACAGGGACCAAGAGGACGGGGAAAGCCGGGAAACAAUUAACGUCAACUUAUCUGAG
rnacentral:lncRNA from 1 species